ACUGACAGAUAACACCCACCUGACACUGACAGGUAACACCCACCUGAUACUGACAGGUAACACCUGACACUGACAGAUAACACCCACUGAUAUUGACAGGUAACGCUCACCUGAUACUGACAGAUAACACCCACCUGAUACUGACAGGUAACGCUCACAUGAUACUGACAGGUAACGCUCACCUGAUACUGACAGAUAACACUCACCUGAUACUGACAGGUAACGCUCACCUGAUACUGACAGGUAACGCUCACCUGAUACUGACAGGUAACACUCACCUGAUACUGACAGGUAACACUCACCUGAUACUGACAGAUAACACCCACCUGACACUGACAGAUAACACCCACCUGAUACUGAGAGGUAACACUCAUCUGAUACUGACAGGUAACACCCACCUGACACCGACAGAUAACACCCACCUGACACUGACAGAUAACACCCACCUGAUACUGACAGGUAACACUCAUCUGAUACUGACAGGUAACACCCACCUGA